rnacentral:lncRNA from 13 species
CCUAGCACAGAUGAGACAGGUGUGGGUGAAUGCGGUUUGACAGACUUCAAAACAUUUGCACGGCGCCUUUGAUCCUUUCGGAUUAAAAUCUCGCGCCACAAAUUGAUGCUCUUCGGUUUGAGGCACGUGAGAGGCACAUCUUGCUGUCCCGCAUCCGGUUAUCUCGUGCUGCAAUAUUUUCAAAUGACAUAUCCCGAGUUUAUUUAAAACAAGAAUAGUUUAAUUUAGUAUAUCACACAUUGUGUUCAGGGGUGAUUUCAUCAAUUUUUUAAAUCAGCCCUAUCAUUUGUGUGGGUCAUCAAAGGGUCAAGGGACAAUAACAUGCUUUUAAAUUAGUAUAUGAAAAUGCACGUUUACUCCGUGACAACCAUGGACACCUACAUGACUCACUGCCAGACAUUUGGAAUACCUCUGUGGGUGGCACCACUGCUCCGCGCUGCUUCGCGCCCUAGGAGUGACCACGCACGGCGAAAAAAGGCCUACAAAUGUAUUCAGCGGAAACUGUAUCACCAUGGGGUGGGCUGCCAGAAGGGUGACGGUGGCCAUCCCACUUAUGUCUACCCAUCAGAGCUGAAGCAGUUGAUGCGCGCUGUGUUCCCAGAGGACGUCUGUGACUACCCUGACCCAUGCCACGCACAGGUGGUGCAGGUGACUAUAGAGGACCUUCAGGGAAUUGAGUCCUCUUGGCUGAAGAGGGCACUUACAUAG